rnacentral:rRNA from 1 species
AUUGAACGCUGGCGGCAGGCCUAACACAUGCAAGUCGAGCGGAUGAAGGGAGCUUGCUCCUGGAUUCAGCGGCGGACGGGUGAGUAAUGCCUAGGAAUCUGCCUGGUAGCGGGGGAUAACGUCCGGAAACGGGCGCUAAUACCGCAUACGUCCUGAGGGAGAAAGUGGGGGAUCUUCGGACCUCACGCUAUCAGAUGAGCCUAGGUCGGAUUAGCUAGUUGGUGGGGUAAAGGCCUACCAAGGCGACGAUCCGUAACUGGUCUGAGAGGAUGAUCAGUCACACUGGAACUGAGACACGGUCCAGACUCCUACGGGAGGCAGCAGUGGGGAAUAUUGGACAAUGGGCGAAAGCCUGAUCCAGCCAUGCCGCGUGUGUGAAGAAGGUCUUCGGAUUGUAAAGCACUUUAAGUUGGGAGGAAGGGCAGUAAGUUAAUACCUUGCUGUUUUGACGUUACCAACUGAAUAAGCACCGGCUAACUUCGUG